rnacentral:rRNA from 1 species
CCUACGGGAGGCAGCAGUGGGGAAUAUUGCACAAUGGGGGAAACCCUGAUGCAGCGACGCCGCGUGAGUGAAGAAGUAUUUCGGUACGUAAAGCUCUAUCAGCAGGGAAGAAAAUGACGGUACCUGACUAAGAAGCCCCGGCUAACUACGUGACAGCAGCCGCGGUAAUACGUCGGGGGCAAGCGCUAUCCGGAUUUACUGGGUGUAAAGGGAGCGUAGACGGCAGCGCAAGUCUGGAGUGAAAUCCCAUGGCUUAACCAUGGAACUGCUUUGGAAACUGUGCAGCUAGAGUGCAGGAGAGGUAAGCGGAAUUCCUAGUGUAGCGGUGAAAUGCGUAGAUAUGAGGAGGAACACCAGUGGCGAAGGCGGCUUACUGGACUGUAACUGACGUUGAGGCUCGAAAGCGUGGGGAGCAAACAGGAUUAGAUACCCCAGUAGUC